UACGAAGGGGGCUAGCGUUGUUCGGAAUUACUGGGCGUAAAGCGCACGUAGGCGGACAUUUAAGUCAGGGGUGAAAUCCCAGAGCUCAACUCUGGAACUGCCUUUGAUACUGGGUGUCUUGAGUAUGGAAGAGGUGAGUGGAAUUCCGAGUGUAGAGGUGAAAUUCGUAGAUAUUCGGAGGAACACCAGUGGCGAAGGCGGCUCACUGGUCCAUUACUGACGCUGAGGUGCGAAAGCGUUGGGGAGCAAACAGG
rnacentral:rRNA from 1 species